UGUGAAUUCAUUUGACUCAGGUUCUCGCCUGCCAAGAAUCUUCCACGUGGUGAUGCUCCUCACUCAUUCAGAGAUAAGAUGAUGUCAUCUUCCAGGUCAGAGUUGUCAGAGCUGUCGGCUGCAAGGAAGAAAACUGAGGUGGAUAAAGUCAAGUCAAGAAGAGCAUGGCCGUGAUUCAAGAAAGUCCUGAAAAGCAGCCAAAGAGGAGGCUGGGAAAACCAGUGUUCCCGGUCGGAAAGGCACAGCGUGGCCUGUUGGAAACAGGCGGGAAGAUCACAGAACUAGCAGCUCAUCACUCGGAGGACGUGCAGCGGGCAGGGCAGGCCUCCCCAGAGCCAAGCUCGUGUCCCAGGUGCCCCUGCUAUGAGCCACCGCUGCCAGGCCAGCUGCCGGAACCUGCCCUCCCAGCCCGCACACCUGCGCCUGGCCCGGGACUAAAGCUUCUGGAGGAGGAUCACGGUCCAGCCCUGAAGCACGUGAGUGUCAGGUGCAGGGCUUGGUGCCCAGGGGCCAGGGCUCCCCCUCUGCCUCCCUCAGCCUUUUAGCACCUUGAAGUGCUCAGAGACCUUGGUCAAGCCUUCUCCUUCGGAAAGGCCCUGAGGCAAAGGCCGUGCAGAUGGAAACCAUGUUGGCAAUCUUUAGCCUGUUACUCUAUAAUACAGGCUUUGGGGGGGCAGAACUGACUGGGACAGAGACUUCAGCUAAGGAGUUUGGUUCUGCAUAGAGAAUCCAGCACCAGGUGUGGGCCCAGGCCUCUGUAGGGUUGGGUGGGGCUCAAGGUGUGGUUUUCUAGGCUUAAUGGCUCCCGUCAGACCCUAAAAGGUUCCACAAGCCCCAAACAAUGAAGCUACUGCUCUGAAGGGUCAGAGUGAGGCAAAUGGCCAGCAAAACAAGGGCCCAGGGAGUGUGCCCUCUGCUGUACGAGCGGCUGUGGGUGUAAAACAGAGCAAUGGCACACACACUGCAGAUGCCACCUCGUUGUCACCACCUCAGCUCUGGAGCCCAAGCUAAAACGUCCUUGCGUUGUCAUCUAUUCGGCAUUUCUACAUCACAGAUCUUCCCGAGUUAAAGUGACAUUCUCACUGCUGAUAGAACUAAGGUUUUCCAGAUGGUUCGGGGCUAGGAAGGAAAGGUUUCCUAAACUAAACAGGAAAAGCUGGAGGAGGCAGUAAAUCAUAGACCAAAUAGAACUUUGUAGCUUUAUAUUCCACUUAAGAGAAUUAGUGAGGCUCACGGCGGGGGCACACCAGCUGCUCCUUAGCCUACCUCGCUGCUUGUAAUUGGAGGGAAAGGGAACUGGGGCCUGUGUGUCACUAUUCAGAUGACAAAGGUCUGAUAAAACUUGCCCUGAUAUGAUCAAUACUGUCCCCUGUCCCUUGCCCUUUAGUCUCUCAGUCUCUCUUUCCUGGCUCUCUGACCAUGGCUAGGGACAAAGCAAGCUUCCUUCACUGAAUCACCUUAACCUCCAGCAUGGAGAACAUGGAAGCUGGUAAACAGCAGAUGGACAGACAGAAGGCCCUCUCUCCCAGCCCCACAGAGGAUGGUGAGAAAGACAGUCUUCCCUCAGCCAGCUGCCUUCAGCCUUGAAGACGAGAAGCAUGUAUGAGAUCGCUCUCUCCUGCUCCUGAUUAUAAAAAACCAAACAUCCACUGUAAAGACACUGGCAUCUGUUGGGCCUAGGCCAGCACAAUACGGUUCCCAUGGUGAUGUAACGUCCUGGUCCGUGCCCUUCCACGGCAGCUACACGAGGCGCCUGCGCACUUGCAGUGUGGGCAUGAAUGAGGAACUGAGUUUAAAAACUGCAUCACAGUGUCAAUGGCCCCGUGUGGCUAGUGGCUGUGCUGGGUGUAAGGCCCUGGCUGUGGGAAAACUGGCCCGGUUAGCUGCAUGGAAAUGGUGGCUGUCGCAGGGAUUACGCUGUCAGACAGGGACACCUCAGAGAUGCUGCCUCCCCCCGCCCCCUCCUCCACCCGCCUCCCGUGUCCUCUGUGAACACUUGGGAGCUGCAGGGCUUGGCAGACCCUGAGAACCGUCAACUGGUUCCUCAAGACGCCUUAGCAUGUAGUCAGGGACAGUCUGACUUCAGAAACCUUCCUAGUGGGAAACAGCUGGAAAUAGGGAGUUUUUCUUUCUAAUUCGGAAUGAAGAGGGGGGAGGGAUAAAAACAGAGAAACCUGUGCCCCCCGGUCUUUCAGGAAAAGCGGACAGGAAAGGAAAGGUUCCCCACAAGAGGCGUCUGCUGCUUUAGGAAGGAGCGAGCGGUCCAGCAGGUGCCAGCGGGCCCUGGGGCAGAACUGUGUUCAGGCUUCUGUUCUGAGGCUCACCCUCUAGGCAGCCAGGACCAUGACCCCGUGUGUCCGGCUGCUUUCACACAACAGAAGAGUUGAGAAGCUGCAGCAGAGACCAUGUGGCCCACAAAGUGAAACAUUUACUGUCCCGCCUUUACAGAAAUCAUUUGCCAGCCUCCGUUUUAAAGAUGAGAGAGAACAGCUGUUUGGUUACAUAGUCUGAUGGGAGAGCAGAGGGUCAGAGGUGGGAAAACUGCUUUUCCUCAGGGGCCAGAGGUGGGAAUGGACAGUUAAGGGACAAAGAACUCCUGGUGUGGCUUCCACACUGGGCGGGGCUGGCACAGGGAAGGCAUCUUCCCCUGGAGGCCCAGGCUCAGCCCCAUGGUCAUCCUGGACUUACUGUCCCCCAGGAUCAGUUCCACUUCCUCAUCUGCAUCAGAGUCUUCAUCCUCCCCGUCCUCUCCCUCCUCCAGAAGGUUGGCCAGCUCCUCGUCAGAGGGAGAGAAGUCAUUGUCCCCAUCCUCCCCUGCGUUCUCGUUGUUGUCAUCCUCCUCCAACUCCGCCUCCAGCAAUUGGUCAGUGUCAAGGUCAUCGAGAUCAUCAGUGUCAUCAUCAUCUUCAUCAUCAUCUUCUUCCUCCUGCUCCUCCUCCUCCUGGUAAGAGAGCAUUAGGUCCAUUAGGAGGAAACAGAGGCCUGGCCAGGGAGUUUGCCCCACUUCCCUAAGGACGGGAGGGAACUGCCAGUGGAGAGAGCGGUCACCGCGGUUAGCACAGACUUCAGGGCCAGCAGACUCAUGGUGAGGCAGCCACCAGCAUGUACGUGGCCCCCAAGACACCAGACGAGGAUGGCUACUUACUCCACGAAGGCAUUACCGGUCAUGCAGCUCUAUCCCAAGAAACAGGAAACUCGCUUUACAGAGGCCUCUGCCACCGACAGUGUGGGCUCCUGGCUAGUACCCCCAAAGGGGCUGGCUCUUCUCGGUCCUGCACCAACCAAACCAAGUGAAAUCCGAGGCAGCACUGGAACAAAAGCUUCAACCCCUGGAAUCUACCUGUUCUUCUACCUAACAACACAGGAAGAACACAGCUGCUGAGCCAUCAGCUCCUCAGCCCUUCACGUUCUUGCCAAGAACGUGGAUAGACCUGGAACAGUGCUAUCAUAAGCAGCGCCUGAACCAAACAAAGCAGACAUUCACCGUCCAGACACUCACAGAUAACCCAUGUUCUGUGCUAGAGAAACUCCUCGCUUGCAUUCUGCCAGAUUUCGACUUUGCGCUAGUAUCCAGUUUCCCUUCAAGCAAGAGAGGACACAGCGCCUCUUAGCCUCUUAGCUUUGACAGAGACGACAGGUGUUUCCAAGUAAAUGUCAUUAACACUCAGGCACUUAUCCUCCUGCUCAAAUAUCAACAGUCAGCUUGGCCGGUAGGAAAAGAUUCUAUUUCCUGCAAUAAUAAAAUAUAAAAUCCAUUUACUCCA